rnacentral:rRNA from 1 species
GAUGAACGCUGGCGGCGUGCCUAAUACAUGCAAGUCGAGCGAAUGGAUUAAGAGCUUGCUCUUAUGAAGUUAGCGGCGGACGGGUGAGUAACACGUGGGUAACCUGCCCAUAAGACUGGGAUAACUCCGGGAAACCGGGGCUAAUACCGGAUAACAUUUUGAACCGCAUGGUUCGAAAGUGCAAGGCGGCCUCGGCUGUCACUUAUGGAUGGACCCGCGUCGCAUUAGCUAGUUGGUGAGGUAACGGCUCACCAAGGCAACGAUGCGUAGCCGACCUGAGAGGGUGAUCGGCCACACUGGGACUGAGACACGGCCCAGACUCCUACGGGAGGCAGCAGUAGGGAAUCUUCCGCAAUGGACGAAAGUCUGACGGAGCAACGCCGCGUGAGUGAUGAAGGCUUUCGGGUCGUAAAACUCUGUUGUUAGGGAAGAACAAGUGCUAGUUGAAUAAGCUGGCACCUUGACGGUACCUAACCAGAAAGCCACGGCUAACUACGUGCCAGCCGCCGCCGUAA